CAUGCAAGUCGAGCGGUAAGGCCCUUCGGGGUACACGAGCGGCGAACGGGUGAGUAACACGUGGGUGAUCUGCCUCGCACUUCGGGAUAAGCCUGGGAAACUGGGUCUAAUACCGGAUAUGACUUCUGGUCGCAUGGCUGGGGGUGGAAAGAUUUAUCGGUGCGAGAUGGGCCCGCGGCCUAUCAGCUUGUUGGUGGGGUAAUGGCCUACCAAGGCGACGACGGGUAGCCGGCCUGAGAGGGCGACCGGCCACACUGGGACUGAGACACGGCCCAGACUCCUACGGGAGGCAGCAGUGGGGAAUAUUGCACAAUGGGCGAAAGCCUGAUGCAGCGACGCCGCGUGAGGGAUGACGGCCUUCGGGUUGUAAACCUCUUUCGACAGGGACGAAGCGUAAGUGACGGUACCUGUAGAAGAAGCACCGGCCAACUACGUGCCAGCAGCCGCGGUAAUACGUAGGGUGCGAGCGUUGUCCGGAAUUACUGGGCGUAAAGAGCUUGUAGGCGGUUUGUCGCGUCGUCUGUGAAAACUCACAGCUCAACUGUGAGCUUGCAGGCGAUACGGGCAGACUUGAGUACUGCAGGGGAGACUGGAAUUCCUGGUGUAGCGGUGAAAUGCGCAGAUAUCAGGAGGAACACCGGUGGCGAAGGCGGGUCUCUGGGCAGUAACUGACGCUGAGAAGCGAAAGCGUGGGUAGCGAACAGGAUUAGAUACCCUGGUAGUCCACGCCGUAAACGGUGGGCGCUAGGUGUGGGUUUCCUUCCACGGGAUCCGUGCCGUAGCUAACGCAUUAAGCGCCCCGCCUGGGGAGUACGGCCGCAAGGCUAAAACUCAAAGGAAUUGACGGGGGCCCGCACAAGCGGCGGAGCAUGUGGAUUAAUUCGAUGCAACGCGAAGAACCUUACCUGGGUUUGACAUACACCGGAAACCUGCAGAGAUGUAGGCCCCCUUGUGGUCGGUGUACAGGUGGUGCAUGGCU
rnacentral:rRNA from 1 species